CCCCUCUCAACCCCAGCAGUUCUGGCCUUUAUUUUCUUGUUCUGGCCUUGCUAAAUACCAAGCAUGGUGUUCAAAAGUCAGUGUACAAAAAUGACAGAAAACAAUGGCACUGUUCUCAGACACCUUAAGGCACAAUGGAACAGAGACACAGGUCCACUGGAUUUUGACAUUCCUCAGGAGAUAUCAGAGUUAUGCAGGAAUGCAUAAUCCACAAACUGCCAAGGAGAAACAUCAAGAAGAUUCAGAAGCUGAGCUAAUUCAAGUCUUACCCUGUUAGACCUCAAGAUAUGCUUAGGCCAGCUUUCAACAAGUUCUAACCAUUAAACUACAACAUUUUCAGGACACUUGGAAACAAUAAUAAAUAUAAUAUUUCUGAUUAAAG
rnacentral:lncRNA from 1 species